rnacentral:rRNA from 1 species
AGUGAACGCUGGCGGUAGGCCUAACACAUGCAAGUCGAACGGCAGCACAGUAAGAGCUUGCUCUUACGGGUGGCGAGUGGCGGACGGGUGAGGAAUACAUCGGAAUCUACUUUUUCGUGGGGGAUAACGUAGGGAAACUUACGCUAAUACCGCAUACGACCUACGGGUGAAAGCAGGGGAUCUUCGGACCUUGCGCGAUUGAAUGAGCCGAUGUCGGAUUAGCUAGUUGGCGGGGUAAAGGCCCACCAAGGCGACGAUCCGUAGCUGGUCUGAGAGGAUGAUCAGCCACACUGGAACUGAGACACGGUCCAGAAUCCUACGGGAGGCAGCAGUGGGGAAUAUUGGACAAUGGGCGCAAGCCUGAUCCAGCCAUACCGCGUGGGUGAAGAAGGCCUUCGGGUUGUAAAGCCCUUUUGUUGGGAAAGAAAAGCAGCAGGUUAAUACCCCGCUGCUCUGACGGUACCCAAAGAAUAAGCACCGGCUAACUUCGU